GUAUUUAAAGAGCAUAUUCAACAGUCAUUGGUAUUUAAAGGAAGCAAACAUCCUUCUUUAAGGACAAGUCAUUUUGCUCCUUGAACUUGAAGGAAGAGCAGCCUGACAGUGAGUUCAAGUGACCAAGGAUAUAGGAGAGUAAAAGUCCAUUGGAUGUUGGAAGCAAAGUAUCUCCAAACUUGUACCACCAGCGCAGACCUAAGGCGCUCUCAGCAUUGAGGGCCUGAUCUGAAUUUCCUGGUUAGGGAAUAUCAGAAAACCCAAAUGGAAAAACAAAUAAACAAAAAACACCAAAAUGAAGAAUUUAUGCAAAAUAACCAGCCUGUCAUCUUCAAAAAUAUCAAGGUCAAGAAAGAUAAAGGCUGAGAACUCUUCCAGUUUAAAGGAGACUAAAGAGAUAGGACAACAGAAUGUACUGCAUGGUCCUGGACUUGAAAAAUAAUUGUGAUAAAAGACACAAUUGAGGAUAUUGGGAACCUGGAGGGGUGCUAGAAGACUAACCUUUCAGCACGACCAAUUUGAAACAUUAAUGCUACAUUUAUCAUUAUUCCUUGAGUAGACUUUGGUCAAUAUGUUUAACACAGCUGUUCUUAAAUGAGGAACUUUCUUGUUUCCUCAAACUUAAGACUCUCUUAAGGCUAAACGAUAAUAAAAAUGUUAAUACUGCAUUCUGGAAACACUUGCAACUUUCAAGAUGGCAUUAUCUGAACACUUAAGAGGAUUACAAUUGUGAAUGAAGAAUCCUAAGACAAAUGGUGAAGAAGAUGUAUCAGCCAGGUUUUUUUUUUUUUUUGCCAUGGUGAGGCUGCAUAAGAAGCAUACUCCCUCCCUCAAGUCCUGAUGCCCUGCAACAGUGAGGCUUGUUUGUUGCACAUGUGGCGCGUCUGUGUUCA
ensembl:lncRNA